GCCGGUGUAGCUCAGUUGGCAGAGCGUCUCAUUCGUAACGAGAGGGCCAGGGGUUCGAUUCCUCUCACCGGCA
rnacentral:tRNA from 1 species